rnacentral:misc_RNA from 1 species
GUCAACUUUUUUGGAAAUGAUACAAAGAAAGAUAUCUCUGUUUACAACAGAAAAACUCUCCUCUGAUGAAUUGUAUAAUCGUUGGAAUUAUAAGAAUGAACAAAAAAAGAAAAUCCUAAAUAAUGAAUUUAUAAAUAGAGUCCAGGCUCUAGAUAAGGAAUAUCUUACUCUGAAUACACUCGAAAAAAGGACUAGACUAUGUAAUGAUAAAACUAAAAAAAAGUACUUACCUAAAAUUUAUGAUCCCUUUUUGAGUGGGUCCUGCCGCGGGAAAAUCCAAUUUUUUUUUUCACCCUC